rnacentral:rRNA from 1 species
GUGGGGAAUAUUGGACAAUGGGCGAAAGCCUGAUCCAGCAAUGCCGCGUGAGUGAUGAAGGCCCUAGGGUUGUAAAGCUCUUUUACCCGGGAUGAUAAUGACAGUACCGGGAGAAUAAGCUCCGGCUAACUUCGUGCCAGCAGCCGCGGUAAUACGAGGGGAGCUAGCGUGGUUCGGAAUUACUGGGCGUAAAGCGCGCGUAGGCGGUUUUUUAAGUCAGAGGUGAAAGCCCGGGGCUCAACCCCGGAAUUGCCUUUGAAACUGGAAAACUAGAAUCUUGGAGAGGUCAGUGGAAUUCCGAGUGUAGAGGUGAAAUUCGUAGAUAUUCGGAAGAACACCAGUGGCGAAGGCGACUGACUGGACAAGUAUUGACGCUGAGGUGCGAAAGCGUGGGGAGCAAACAGGAUUAGAUACCCCUGUAGUCC